CAAAAGCAACCUGAAAUGUUACUCUUGCUUGCCCAACUCAAGUCAACCAUAGCUAGCUAAAAUGGUGCUCCACUCAGCUAUAGCUGCCUAACGAGCUCAGCUCCACGUCUCGAUCUACCUCUCUAUAUUUAAUUUGCCUCCAAAAUCCAUCUAUAUAUAUCGCAUUCGAGCUAAACAACUCUUCAUCCAAACAAGCAAAGGCAAAUACUAAAGCUAGCUACGCCUACGAGUAGAAGAAACCAACAAUGGCGCCGCUCGCACCCGGGAGGCCAGCAGCCUGCCUCCUGGCCCUUCUCUCCGUCGUCACGGCGCUAUCCCUGGCGGCGCCGGGCUUGGCGGCGGGGAAGACCGGCCAGGUGACGGUGUUCUGGGGCCGGAACAAGGCCGAGGGGUCCCUGCGCGAGGCCUGCGACUCCGGCAUGUACACCAUGGUCACCAUGUCUUUCCUCGACGUCUUUGGCGCCAAAGGAAAGUACCACCUCGACCUCUCCGGCCACGACCUCUCCGCCGUCGGCGCCGACAUCAAGCACUGCCAGUCCAAGGGCGUCCCCGUCUCCCUCUCCGUUGGCGGCUACGGCACCGGCUACUCGCUCCCGUCCAACCGCUCCGCGCUCGACCUCUUCGACCACCUCUGGAACUCCUACUUGGGCGGGUCCAACCCUGGCGUGCCCCGCCCCUUUGGCGACGCGUGGCUCGACGGCAUCGACCUCUUCCUGGAGCACGGCACGCCGGCGGACCGCUACGACGUGCUGGCGCUGGAGCUGGCGAAGCACAACAUCCGCGGCGGCCCGGGGAAGCCGCUGCACCUGACGGCGACGGUCCGGUGCGGGUACCCGCCGGCGGCGCACGUGGGGCGGGCGCUGGCGACGGGGAUCUUGGAGCGCGUGCACGUGAGGAUCUACGAGGAGAGCGACAAGGCGUGCAACCAGUACGGGGCGUGGGAGGAGGCGUGGGACAGGUGGACGGCGGCGUACCCGGCCACCCGGUUCUUCAUCGGGCUCACCGCCGACGAGAAGUCGUACCAGUGGAUACACCCCAAGAACGUCUACUACGGCAUCACGCCGGUGGUGCAGAAGAAGGACAACUACGGCGGGGUCAUGCUCUGGGACCGAUACUUCGACAAGCAGAGCGACUACAGUAGCUACAUCAAGUACUACGCCUGAUCGGAGUUAUACUUUCACAAGCCACGCUGUUGCAUGCAUCACCGUCGAUUUGAUUUCGAUGUGUUGUUGCAAACUUGCAAGCGAGAAUAAAGUGAGGCUUGUACUACUUGGGUAAAUAAAUAAUUGACCAGCUGGUCGUACGUACAGUUAUGGUUUAGUUAUCAACUCAAUGUCUUGAAUGCUUGUGUUUUUGUUUGUACAAUUAGAGUCUUUCAACAAACAUGAUAGUCUCUUAGUAGCAAAUGAUACAAAUACAUUGGAUCCUGACCGAUUUCUCUAUUUGGUUUAAAAUUCUCAAGCUGAUCACCACUCGGAACUACUCCCUCCAUCUCAAAAUAGGUGUCUCAACUUUAUACCGAUUGAGACACCUAUUAUGGGACGGAGAGAGUAGAAAAUACAUAUUUUAGCUAAAACAUAUCUAGAUGUGUCAUAAGUAUUACAUAUUUAAAUUCUAUGCCAUUGAUUUUAGGGGAGGAUUCAUGCUGGUAUUUUUUUUCUUUUUAUGUUUCAUUGAGUCAUUCUGUGCAAUAACUAAGACACAUCUAGAUAUGUCCUAAAUAUACCCAAAAGACAUACACCAGCAAUGAAAUCCAUACAUAACAUCGGUUUCCCCAUGAUAGCAAUCCAAACGAUCAUAUGCUUUCGUCAUAUCAAUUUUCUACGCAUAACUCAUGUUCUUCUUUGCUUUAUUAAUCUUCAUGAAGUGUAAGCACUCAAAAGUUAUCAUAAAUAUAAUUAAUAUUAAUCUGCCCAAGACAAAAGAAGACUGCUCCACAAAGAUGAUCUCUAGUAAUAAGACUUUGAGCCUAUUAGCAAGCACCUUGGACACCCCCUUAUAAACCACAUUACACAAGUGAAUGGGUCUAAAUUGCCACAAAGAAGUUGGAUUAAUAACAUUGGGGGUGAGUACAAUGAUUUUUUUUCUUAAUUACCUCCAAACCAUCUUCUCUCCUUGGUAUUGUAUAAAGGCCAGCAUCAUUUUUUUUAUCCUUCAGUCAAAGAUUAGCGCGGUUUGACCCUAAUCCGAACUGUGGCGUGUCACGUGCAACACAAAACGCGGCCAUGAAUAGCGUCACCAAAGAGGGUGAAAUCCUGAAAAAGUGUUUAACUAAAAUCAAAUUAAGGGAGGGUCAAAACAGUAAUUUUCGCCACCGCAGGAGAAGCGGUGCGCUGGCGCGCCGUGUGUGCGUAGGUCAGCCAAGGCUGCGGCGCGCGGGUGGGCCGGUCCAAGCUGGUGGGCCAGUGCGGUCCAUGUGCGGACAGGCUGGCUCAGGCGUGUGAUGCGGGUCGCGGCAACAUGCACCUCCGACUGAAGCGGCACAUGCAGAUUUCUUGAUUUUUAUUUUAUUUAUUUUUGGAGAAGGUCCAAGAGGAAAGGAGCACACGCGCACGAGAACCUUCGAGGCUUCGGCAAGAAACAUAUGCAUGUGUGUGUCAUGCCCGACCUAUGCGUUGGUAAGCGCAGCUGGAUGGUGGGCCAUCUCUUGGAGGUUGGUCCCACAUGGAAGUCACAUGGAGGCAAGGCUACAUAUACAGCAGGGGAAGCACAGGAGGAGGUAGCGAAGGAAUGAAUGAAUGUUCUGAAUCUCAUCUCGUGUGCUUCUGGUCCUCAUCCCCUUCUAUGAUUCCUCACCCCCAAUUCUCCCAAAUUAUCCCAAAUCGAUCCAAAUACUGAGCUAAUUUGUGCAUCCUCGAUCCAUCCAACGAUUGGGUCGUGAUAAUUUGGUAAUUGGAGCAAGGUUGAUCCACCCAAAAUUUUCGCUGCCCCGUGAUUUGUUCGUCCGCUCGAUCGGUAACAUCCGUCGCGUCCGGUGCGGCUUCUUUCAAGAGGCCGCUCGAAAUCCACCGUGGGGUUCGAUCCUCGGCAACAGCCACGACAGCGCCGACCCAACCAUCUGCCCAGACAACCAUGUUCUCUCCGGCAUGGCCGCGAACACCGGCGAACUGAAGGUGUUGCUCGAGUCCCUCCUCAGCAAAUUGGAUGAGACUAAAGCCACCGACGACAAGCGCCUGGGAGCGCAGCGCGCCUUCAACGAGCAAAUCCACCAUGAUCUACAAAAGCAAAUCCAUCCUACCCGCAAAGCGCCUGACGACGUCCGCAAGGCGCGCGACACCACGACGGCCUCCGCGACGUCCCAGGCAGGCUCGCCCACGCCGGACCUGCCGUGUUCACCAGCAGCAGUGUUACCGCUCCACCCUCACCAAGGCUCCACCUCAUAUGCGCGGCUGGUGACGGACUUGCCCCCGUUCCUUCCGACUAGUCCUGCAGUCACCACUCCAGUUCCUGUCUACCACAUGUUCGACGAAAUGCCUGAGAGUGAGUUCGACCCGCGCAUGCGCUCACUGCUAGAGGUGACACAGAUGGGCACAGUGGCUGCGUAUACGGCGAUGUUUUGGGAGUGUCUACACCAUGUGCUACAUCUCAACCCCAGCCUGAGCACCAAGUGCUUCAUCCACCAUUACAUCAAGGGCUUGCACAAGAAUAUUCAAGCAGCCGUGAAGACACUAUUGGGGAUCGUAGCAGAAAUUUAAAAUUUUCUACGCAUCACCAAGAUCAAUCUAUGGAGUAAUCUAACAACGAGGGAAGGAGAGUGCAUCUACAUACCCUUGUAGAUCGCUAAGCGGAAGCGUUCAAGUGAAUGGGGUUGAUGGAGUCGUACUCGUCGUGAUCCAAAUGACCGAUGAUCCUAGCGCCGAACGGACGGCACCUCCGCGUUCAACACACGUACGGUAGGAGACGUCUCCUCCUUCUUGAUCCAGCAAGGUGAGAGGAGAAGAAGUUGAGGGAAAACUCUGACAGCACGACGGCGUGGUGGUGAUGGAGCUCGUGGUUCUCCGGGAGGGCUUCGCCAAGCACUACGGAGGAGGAUGAGGUGUUGGAGGAGGAAGAGGGCUGCGCUAGGGGAAGGGUGCGGCUGCCCUCUCUCUCCCUCACUAUAUAUAGGGGAAAGGGAGGAGGGGGCGCCCUAGGGUUCCCUAGGGGAGGGGCGGCGGCCACAGGGGAAACCCUAGAUGGGUUUGGGCGCCCGCACCCCCUAGGAAACUUGCCUCCCAAGCCGGGAGGGGCGGCUGCCCUAGGGGUGGCGCCCCCACCUCUCCUGGUUACGUGAGAUGGGGUGGGAGGGGCGCUCAGCCCCUUAGUGGGCUGAUGUGCCCUCUCCCCUUGGCCCAUAAGGCCGCCCAACGCUUGUCGGGGCCUCCGAAACCCAUUUCGUACACACUGGUCAUCACCUGAUACCCCGGAACAAUUCCGGACUCCAAUACCCUUCGUCCAAUAUACCGAUCUUCACCUCCGGACCAUUCCAGAGCUCCUUGUCAUGUCCGGGAUCUCAUCCAGGACUCCGAACAACCUUCGGUAACCACAUACUAUUUCCCAUAACAACUCUAGCGUCCCCGAACCUUAAGUGUGUAGACCCUACGGGUUUGGGAACCAUGCAGACAUGACUGAAACAACUCUCCGGCCAAUAACCAACAUCGGGAUCUGGAUAUCCAUGUUGGAUCCCACAUGUUCCACGAUGAUCUCAUCGGAUGAACCACGAUGUCGAGGAUUCAAUCAAUCCUGUAUACAAUUCCCUUUGUCCAGCGGUAUUGUACUUGCCCGACAUUCAAUCGUCGGUAUCCGAUACCUUGUUCAAUCUCGUUACCGGCAAGUCUCUUUACUCGUUCCGUAACACAUCAUCCCGUGAUCAACUCCUUGUUCACAUUGUGCACAUUAUGAUGAUGUCCUACCGAGUGGGCCCAGAGAUACCUCUCCGUUUACACGGAGUGACAAAUCCCAGUCUCGAUUCGUGCCAACCCAACAGACACUUUCGGAGAUACAUGUAGUGUACCUUUAUAGCCACUCAGUUACGUUGUGACGUUUGGCACACCCAAAGCACUCCUACGGUAUCCGGGAGUUGCACAAUCUCAUGGUCUAAGGAAAUGAUACUUGACAUUAGAAAAGCUUUAGCAAACGAACUACACGAUCUUGUGCUAGGCUUAGGAUUGGAUCUUGUCCAUCACAUCAUUCUCCUAAUGAUGUGAUCCCGUUAUCAACGACAUCCAAUGUCCAUGGUUAGGAAACCGUAACCAUCUAUUGAUCAACGAGCUAGUCAACUAGAGGCUUACUAGGGACAUGGUGUUGUCUAUGUAUCCACACAUGUAUCUGAGUUUCCUAUCAAUACAAUUCUAGCAUGGAUAAUAAACGAUUAUCAUGAACAAGGAAAUAUAAUAAUAACCAAUUUAUUAUUGCCUCUAGGGCAUAUUUCCAACAGUCUCCCACUUGCACUAGAGUCAAUAAUCUAGUUCACAUCGACAUGUGACCAACAUCCAAAGAGUUUACAAGAGUCACUAAUCUAGUUCACAUCACUAUGUGAUUAAUACUCAAUGAGUUCUGGGUUUGAUCAUGUUAUGCUUGUGAGAGAGGUUGUAGUCAACGGGUUGUAGCGACCAGACCUCAAACAGUCUGAUCUCUGUGCUCCGGUGUCAUCCCUGGAUCAGUAAUGCUGACACCACACAGUACUCGGAGGAUUUAUAGUAGAGUAGCAAUCACACACUUAUUACAUCGAGUGUCUCAAAAGAGAACUUAUUACAAUAAGUAUGGCUUAAGGCCAUCUAAUAACGAUAACAGCGGAAGGCUUGGAAGAUAAGUGAGUCCAUCAACUCCAACGGCAUCACUGAGUAUAGGACCACGACCUAAAAACUCCUUAAUCGAUGUUUGAUAAGUCUGCAACAUUAACGUUGCAGCCCGAAAAUGGGUCAGCACAUGGAAUAUGCUGGCAAGGUAACACAUAGAGAGUAAUGGAAUGGAACAGCUAUACUAUAUGCAUAUUUGGCUGGUGGAAAGCUCUAUGGUUACAGUUUUGCGUAAAGCCGAUUUUUCCCUACUUCAAAGGAAUAAGAUUUCAUUACUAUCAUGGUGGUUGUUAAACAUUGAGAAUGGUUGACAGCAUUCUCAAUCCCAAUUAAGCAUCAUCAUUAACAAAACCCAACAAAAUUAAUUUAGAGUAACAUGUUGAGAUUCACAUGAAAAUCCAAGUACUAGAUACUCAAGAUGUCCAUAAUCAGGGACACGGCUAACCAUGAUUAGUUUAUUACACUCUGCAGAGGUUUGCGCACUUUUCCCCACAAGACUCGAUCGCCUCCGUUUGUUUUCUCGCACUAUAGGGUGUUUGAGAAGACGGAUGACCGAGACAUAGUCUUUCAGAAGCGCUAGCACCUUACUAUGGGUAGACCGUACGACCUACAUCCCCUACAUCUGCUAGUCUACCAUUGUAAGAGUUCGCACAACUUAGUUAACUAUGCUAGAGCCCAUAAUAGCUUGUGCCUGCACACGGAAGUUUCUAGUAUGAAUAGUCUCAUGAUCCCUUUGAGCCUGGGUGGCGGUCCAAAAGAAAACAGGCAAGUCCUGGAAUACCCAGGUGCCUCAAUCCACCCAGAUGUGUGUUUAAUUUGCCACCUUAGAUAAACCAUUAAUUAACAAUCUCACAUCUGUCAUGGAUUUCACUCACCCAAUCCACGUCUACUAGCAUAGCAUGGCAUAAUAAGCAAACGUAGAAGUAACUCCCAAAGGUUUGAUAUAAACAGGUAAUAGGUACUACCUCAUCUACUUCCCAUCCCACAAUUUAAUUACAUCCUAAUCAUGCAAUGUGUGAGGAUUGGUCUAAUGCAAUUAAACUGGGUAGUAGGAAAGGUAUGAUCAAAGUGUUACUUGCCUUGCUGAUGAUCCGCGAAACCUAACGAUUCGAAGUAACAGGCGGCGCACUCCGGGUAUUCUAUCGCAGACAACCAAACAAGCAUACAAUAAGUACUCAUCUAAUGCACAGGUAAAACUCAAAUAAGAGAUCUAACCAGAAGGUUCAACUUAAGAACUCCGGUUGGCAAAAAGAAUCAAAUCGAACGAAGCAACGAAAAACAAACUGCGAAAGAAAACAACUUCGUUCUAGUAAUCUGGAUCUAGGGCAAAUUUUAUAGUAGCAAAAUCUUGUUUAAGUUGGUUAAACGGAUAAAGGGUUUCGAGACGAAACUCUAGGCGCUUGAAUCGCCUGAUUCCGAUAACUCCUUAAUCUGCUUCUUAAUUUCCACCAAAUCUUUUGCUGGCAUCCUAUAUGGUCUCUUUGAUAUUGGACCUGUGCUUGGCAAUAGCUCAAUCAAAAACUCAAUAUCUCUAUCCGGUGGCAUGCCUGGCAACUCCUCUGGAAAUACAUCAGGGAAAUCCCUUACCACUCGUACUUCCUCCUGCACAACUCCUGUUAGGCAAUUUACUUGAGUCCUCUUUGGCACAUGCCGGGAUACAUACUUGAUCCUUCUCCCUUCUGGGGUGGUAAGAAAAAUUGGCUUACUAGCACACUCAAUAUUCCCUUCAAACUUUGAUAACCAAUCCAUACCUAAUAUCACAUCCAAUCCUUGAGAUUCCAAUACUAUUAGGUCCGAGGGAAAAACAUAGUUACCAAUCCUUAAUGGUAACCGAUCACACCAUAGACUAGUCACAUACUCUGCUCCGGGAGAGGUUACUAACAUGGGUGACCUAAGGGCUUGGGUUGGUAGGUUAUACUUAUCCACAAAUCCCCUUGAUAUGUAUGAAUGCGAUGCGCCAGUAUCAAAAAGAACGAGUGCAGUAACUGACUUAACCAAAAACUUACCUAUUACUGCAUCGGGCUGAGCUUCAACCUCCUCCACGCUAACGUGAUUCACUUGUCCCCUGUUGAAAGGGUUUGGCUUCUUCCCAGAACUUCCAUUGCUAUUUCCAUUUUGUAAUUCAGGACAUUCAUUGGCAUAAUGUCCUAUCUUCGAACACUUAAAGCAAGUGACUUGGCUUAGGUCCUUCUUGGCUGGGGUUGAGGGGUUGGUGCGGUUCUGGCCGUUGCUUCCUCCAUUGCCAUUUCCAUUCUUGGUGCCAUUGUGAUUGUGCGUACUACCUCCUCCAUGGGUAUGCUGAAAAUGUCCUCCCUGUCUAGGGGUAAAACGUGGCUUCUGCUGAGCUCCUGAAUUGUACUUUCCUUGUCCAUACUUCCUCUUGCGGUUCUCAAUUUGCUGCUGCUUCCCUUCAAUCAUAAGAGCACGAUCUACCAACUCCUGGUAGUUGUUGAAGGUUGCUACCAUCAACUGCAUGCUCAACUCAUCAUUCAGUCCUUCCAGAAACUUCUCCUGCUUAGCUGCAUCCGUAGCGACGUCGUCUAGGGCAUAACGUGCUAACUUACUAAAUUCCUCCACAUACUGGCCAACUGUCCUUCCUCCUUGGCGCAAGUUGCGAAACUCACGCUUCUUCAUGGCCAUAGCUCCUACUGAAACGUGUGCAGUACGAAAAGCCUGCUGAAACUGGUCCCAUGUGACAGUGUCUACUGGGAAAGUGGCUGUGAAAUUCUCCCACCAUGAUGCUGUGGGUCCUUCUAACUGAUGUGCGGCAAACUUCACCUUCUCCGCAUCUGUGCAUCCUACUGUGGUCAACUCCCUAGCUGUCUUGCGGCGCCAAUCAUCUGCUACCAUCGGCUCGGUGCUACUGGAAAACACCGGCGGAUUCAGCCUAAGAAAACGGGCUAAGUGGUCAACAGGUGGUGGUGCUGGUGGUGGGUUGUUGUUGUUGUUCCCCUGAUUCUGAUUCUGGACUAGCAAUUGCAUCAAUGUGUUCUGCUGCUGGAUCAACUGGGUGAGCUCCGGUGGGAAGGCAAAUCUAGGGUCACGUCUCAGAGGCAUCUGAGGGUUUAGAAAAGAUGAGAUAUAAGAAUAGAGGGGGUCUAAAGAGAAAACACUACCCAUAUGCACAUGAGGCAAAGCAAACAAUUCACUUCGAUCAAUCAAACAAGGGCAUACAAUCGAUCUAUCUAUCGCAAAAGUGCUCGGACUACUAUAUUUACAUGGUGGACUACUACUACUGAUGAGGUGGUCUACUAGAAAUAUUCUACGGUCGUUGACUCCAUGAUAUGUGCUCCAGCUUCAUCAACAUAGUCAUCAUCGCUACUAUCUGCUUCCGAGUCGGUGCCGUCGAUGAUGAUGUAGUCUUCUGAGCUAAUCUCCUUGGGUUCUUCGUCUUUAUCUACUGGCGUAGGGUCUCCCAUAAAUAUUCCAAUCUUCUUGAUCAGGUCGUCAUUCUUCUCCACCAGUACUUCAAUUUCCUCUUCAUAAUCUUCACGUGUAGCCUUGAGUUCUUCCUCCAGUUCCUUGAUUCUAGUCUUAGCCUUCUUUAGAUCUAUCAUGUCGGCGCACAUCUGGUUCUCCUAUCGUCGAAUGUGCUGGUUUAGCUCCUGGAUAAAAGCUGCAAUUGAUCUAUCCUUCUUGGUGCUGGUCAUCUCCCAGUGUUCAUCUCGGCGCCCACAAAUCUGGUAGAUAGUAUCCUUGAGGUCCUUGCGGUAGACUUCUCCAAUGCGUCCCAUGGCGAUGUGAGCUGCCAUGCUCUUUCCUAGACUCCAAGUUGGUGCAUCAAAAGAAAAUUCUAUGGGCUCAGUGACUGGCAUGAACGUCCUUCCUGGAACUUGAACUUGAAUCAUCCAGCGCUCUUCUUCAGGUAAAGUGGCGUUGUAGGUUCCUAUGAAGCUUGGUACUCCUAUGUUCAGGUAUCUAGUGACUUCCUUCAAGUGACGUCCAAAGGGUGUAUCUUCAUCCGGUUGCGUGAACUUGUUCCUUGCAUCCGCCAUCCUAAAGAGUAGAAAGGAUGAGAGGUCAGAAGAGAAGAGAGUGAAAAGUGAUCUAGGUCUUUAGCUUAGUGGUCGUGUCCUACAGUCAGCGUGUGCUCUGAUACCAUCUCUAUAGCGACCAGACCUCAAACAGUCUGAUCUCUGUGCUUCGGUGUCAUCCCUGGAUCAGUAAUGCUGACACCACACAGUACUCGGAGGAUUUAUAGCAGAGUAGCAAUCACACACUUCUUACAUCGAGUGUUUCAAAAGAGAACUUAUUACAAUAAGUAUGGCUUAAGGCCAUCUAAUAAUGAUAACAGCGGAAGGCUUGGAAGGUAAGUGAGUCCAUCAACUCCAACAGCAUCACUAAGUAUAGGACCACGACCUAAAAACUCCUUAAUCGUCGUUUGAAAAGUCUGCAACAUUAACGUUGCAGCCCGAAAACGGGUCAGCACAUGGAAUAUGAUGGCAAGGUAACACAUAGAGAGUAAUGGAAUGGAACAGCUAUACUGUAUGCAUAUUUGGCUGGUGGAAAGCUCUAUGGUUACAGUUUUACGUAAAGCCAAUUUUUCCCUACUUCAUAGGAAUAAAAUUUAAUUACUAUCAUGGUGGUUGUUAAACAUUGAGAAUGGUUGACAGCAUUCUCAAUCCCAAUUAAGCAUCAUCAUUAACAAAAGUCAACAAAAUUAAUUUAGAGUAACAUGUUGAGAUUCACAUGAAAAUCCAAGUACUAGAUACUCAAGAUGUCCAUAACCGAGGACACGGCUAACCAUGAUUAGUUUAUUACACUCUGCAGAGGUUUGCGCACUUUUCCCCACAAGACUCGAUCGCCUCCGUUUGUUUUCUCGCACUACAGGGUGUUUGAGAAGACGGAUGACCGAGAGAUAGUCUUUUAGAAGCGGUAGCACCUUACGAUGGGUAGACCGUACCACCUACAUCCCCUACAUCUGCUAGUCUACCACUGUAAGAGUUCGCACAACUUAGUCAACUAUGCUAGAGCCCAUAAUAGCUUGUGGCUGCACAUGGAAGUUUCUAGUAUGAAUAGUCUCAUGAUCCCUUUGAGCCUGGGUGGCUGUCCAAAAGAAAACAGGCAAGUCCUGGAAUACCCAGGUGCCUCAAUCCACCCAUAUGUGUGUUUAAGUUGCCACCUUAGAUAAACCAUUAAUUAACAAUCUCACAUCUGUCAUGGAUUUCACUCACCCAAUCCACGUCUACUAGCAUAGCAUGGCAUAAUAAGCAAACGUAGAAGUUACUCCCAAAGGUUUGAUAUAAACAAGUAAUAGGUACUACCUCAUCUACUUCCCAUCCCACAAUUUAAUUACAUCCUAAUCAUACAAUGUGUGAGGAUUGAUCUAAUGCAAUAAAACUGGGUAGUAGGAAAGGUAUGAUCAAAGUGUUACUUGGCUUGUUGAUGAUCCGCGAAACCUAACGAUUCGAAGUAACAGGCGGCGCACUCCGGGUAUUCUAUCACAGACAAACAAACAAGCAUACAAUAAGUACUCAUCUAAUGCACAGGUAAAACUCAAAUAAGAGAUCUAACCAGAAGGUUCAACUUAAGAACUCCGGUUGGCAAAAAGAAUCAAAUCGAACGAAGCAACGAAAAACAAACUGCGAAAGAAAACAACUUCGUUCUAGUAAUCUGGAUCUAGGGCAAAUUUUAUAGUAGCAAAAUCUUGUUUAAGUUGGUUAAACGGAUAAAGGGUUUCGAGACGAAAAUCUAGGCGCUUGAAUCACCUGAUUCCGAUAAACGAGCGAAAAGUUAAACUAAAAUGAAAAUCGGAUCAGAAAUCGCGAUCAGAAAAAUUGCGGAUUUAAUCCGAGAAAAAGAAAAGCUACGAACGCCGAAAAAAAAUUCUCUUUUUUUUCUGCACGGAAAACGAGGCGCGACGAACCUCGGGCGGCGGGAUCGUCGGUGGCGGCUCCGGCGCCGCGCACGGAUCGAGGCGGGGUUGAUCGGCUGGGGCGGCUCGGGGCGGCGCUAUUUAAAGGCUGCCCCCGGGCGGUGUCCCGCUCGGGUACGGCCCGAAGUCGGUUCGUUUUUUUAAUUAUUCCGCUCGGAAGAAAAAUAAAAAGAAAUACUAAACGGACUCCAAAAAUUCCGAAAUAAAUUUUCGCAGGCUUCUAAAAUCAAGCCGCACAAGGUGAACAUUUAUUUGGGCCCUAAAUGCAAUUUUGAAAAAUGCACUUUUUUCCUAAAUUCAAAUAAAACACCGAAAAACUCCGAAAUAAAAUCUUAUUCGAUUUUAUUAUUAAAUCCUCAAUAUUUCUUUAUUUUGGGAAAGUCAUUUUAUUCCCUCUCUCAUAUUUUUGUAAUAGAAAUAAUUGAUGAUAAAAUAAAUAAAAUCAAAUGAUCCUAUUCUCAAAAUUUGAGAGAACUCAAAUAUGAAAAUAACGAAAUUCCCAACUCUCUCCGUGGGUCAUUGAGUUGCGUAGAAUUUCUAGGAUCAACCAAAAUGCAAAAUAAAAAAAUAUGAUAUGCAUGAUGAUCUAGUGUAUAACAUUUCAAAUUGAAAAUUUGGGAUGUUACAAACCUACCCCCCUUAAGAUGAAUCUCGCCCUCGAGAUUCGGGUUGGCUAGAAAAUAGGUGAGGGUGGUCCUUGAGCAAAUCUUCCUCUCGCUCCCAGGUGGCUUCAUGCUUCGUGUGGUGGCUCCACUGAACUUUGCAAAACUUGAUAACCUUGCUGCAAGUAACUCGGCUGGCAAACUCGAGAAUCUUAACUGGUUUCUCCUCGUAGGUCAAAUCGUUAUCCAACUGAAUAGUUUCCAAUGGCACUAUGUCUCUCAACGGUAUGUUAGCCAUCUCCGCGUGACAUUUCUUUAACUGAGAAACGUGGAACACAUCAUGUACUCCUGACAAUCCUUCGGGCAAUUCCAACUUGUAGGCCACUUCUCCCAUACGCUCCAAAACUCGAUAUGGUCCUACAAAUCGUGGCACUAACUUCCCUUUAACUCCAAAAUGCUUUGUUCCCUGAAGUGGAGAUACUCGAAGAUAAGCUCUGUCUCCGACUUCGUAAACUGUCUCCUUGCAUUUAGAAUCUGCAUAACUUUUCUGCCUGGACUAGGCUACCUUGAGCCUAUCGCGAAUCAACUUCACCUUCUGUUCAGACUCUUUAAUCAAGUCAGAACCAAACAACUGGCGGUCUCCAACUUCAUCCCACGACAACGGUGUCCUGCACCUCCUUUCGUGCAAGGCUUCGAAAGGGGCCAUCUUUAAACUAGUUUGGUAACUAUUGUUGUAAGAGAACUCUGCAUAUGGCAAAUUAUCGUCCCAACUAGAUCCAUAAUCUAGCGCACAAGCUCUCAGCAUAUCCUCCAAAAUCUGAUUGACUCUCUCGGUCUGUCCAUCUGUCUGUGGAUGAAAAGUUGUACUGAAUUCUAGCCUGGUACCCAAAGUUUCGUGCAACUGCUUCCAGAACUUUGAGGUAAAGUGGGUUCCUCUAUCUGAUAUGAUACUCCUUGGAACUCCAUGCGGACAUACGAUUCUGGUCAUGUAUAUCUUUGCCAACUUAGCACUGGUGUAAGUGGUCUUUACUGGGAUGAAAUGAGCUACUUUCGUCAAUCGAUCAACUACAACCCAAAUCGAGGCAUAGCCUGAACGAGUCCUGGGCAAUCCCGUGAUAAAAUCCAUGCCUAGCUUAUCCCACUUCCAUUCGGGUAUCGGCAAUGGUUGUAACAAUCCUGCUGGCUUCUGAUGCUCUGCCUUUACUCUCUGGCAUACAUCACAAACUGCUACAUACUCUGCAAUAUCCUUCUUCAUUCCGGUCCACCAGAAAAUAUCCUUCAAAUCCAAAUACAUCUUGGUAUUUCCUGGGUGAAUUGAAUAUGGUGAGUCGUGUGCCUCUUGCAAAAUCAACUUCCUGAUCUCCGGGUCAUUGGGCACAUAAACGUGGUCUUCAAACCAUAGGGUGUCGUGCUCAUCCUCACAGAAUCCUUUAGCUUUUCCUUUGCUCAGCUUCUCCUUUAUAGCGGCAGUCUCUUUGUCAGCUUUCUGAGCUUCCUUGAUUUUAUACAUCAAGGUUGACUAAAUCUCCAAUGCUGCUACAUAGCCUCUCGGAAUUAUUUCCAAACAUAGUUCACGAAGAUUAUCUGCUAACUCCUUGGGUAUUUCUCCCGUCAUUAACGUAUUGACAUGGAUCUUAUGGCUUAAUGCGUUAGCUACUACAUUAGCCUUUCCGGGGUGAUAAUGCAAUUUCAUAUCAUAAUCCUUGAUAAGCUCCAACCAUCUCCUUUGUCUGAGGUUUAACUCCUUCUGUGUGAAAAUGUACUUCAAACUCUUAUGAUCCGUGUACACCUCACAAUGAUUUCCAAUGAGGAAAUGUCUCCAUGCCUUCAAUGCAUGCACUACGGCUGCUAACUCCAAAUCAUGCGUGGCAUAAUUCAACUCAUGAGGCUUCAGUUGUCUUGAAGCAUAUGAAACAAAUCUCCCUUCCUGCAUAAGCACUGCUCCAAGUCCUCGACGUGAAGCGUCGCAAUACACCUCAUAAUCCUUGGUCUGGUCUGGCAAAAUCAACACUGGUGAGGUAACCAAACGUUUCUUCAACUCCUGGAAACUAGCCUCACAUUCCUCUGUCCAUAUGAACUUGGUAUCUUUCUUCAACAACUCCGUCAUAGGCUUCGCAAUCUUUGAGAAAUACUCAAUAAAUCUUCGGUAGUAUCCUGCGAGUCCAAGAAAACUCCGGAUCUCUCCAACUGUUUUUGGGGCUUCCCACUUGGUCACGGUUUCAACUUUAGCGGGAUCUGCUGCUAUUCCUUCUCCAGAUAUAACGUGUCCGAGGAAUCCUACUUCCUUCAACCAAAACUCACAUUUGCUGAACUUGGCAUAUAAUUGAUGUUCUCUGAGCUUUCCAAGUACCAAACGCAAAUGCUCCUUAUGUUCCUCUUCAUUCUUUGAAUAAACCAGGAUAUCAUCAAUGAACACUAUGACGAACUUAUCCAAAAACUCCAUAAACACUUUGUUCAUCAUGUUCAUAAAAUAGGCAGGUGCGUUAGUCAGACCAAAUGACAUAACGGUAUACUCAUACAGCCUAUACCUGGUGGUAAAAGCUGUCUGAGGAAUAUCCUGUUCUCGAAUCUUCAAUUGGUGGUAUCCUGAUCGCAGAUCGAUCUUGGAAAAUACCUUAGCUCCUUGCAAUCGAUCAAACAGAUCAUUGAUCAUUGGUAGUGGGUACUUGUUCUUGAUCGUUACUUCAUUCAAUCCUCGAUUAUCAACAACCAUCCUUAACGAUCCAUCCUUUUUCUCCACUAGAAGUACUGGCGAUCCCCAAGGUGAAAAACUUGGGUGAAUAUAUCCCUUAUCCAGUAACUCCUUAAUCUGCUUCUUAAUUUCCACCAAAUCUUUUGCUGGCAUCCUAUAUGGUCUCUUUGAUAUUGGACCUGUGCCUGGCAAUAGCUCAAUCAAAAACUCAAUAUCUCUAUCCGGUGGCAUGCCUGGCAACUCCUCUGGAAAUACAUCAGGGAAAUCCCUUACCACUGGUACUUCCUCCUGCACAACUCCUGUUAGGCAAUUUACUUGAGUCCUCUUUGGCACAUGCUGGGAUACAUACUUGAUCCUUCUCCCUUCUGGGGUGGUAAGCAAAAUUGACUUACUAGCACACUCAAUAUUCCCUUCAUACUUUGAUAACCAAUCCAUGCCUAAUAUCACAUCCAAUCCUUGAGAUUCCAAUACUAUUAGGUCUGAGGGAAAAACAUAGUUACCAAUCCUUAAUGGUAACCGAUCACACCAUAGACUAGCCACAUACUCUGCUCCGGGAGAGGUUACUAACAUGGGUGACCUAAGGGCUUGGGUUGGUAGGUUAUACUUAUCCACAAAUCCCCUUGAGAUGUAUGAAUGCGAUGCGCCAGUAUCAAAAAGAACGAGUGCAGUAACUGACUUAACCAAAAACUUACCUAUUACUGCAUCAGGCUGAGCUUCAACCUCCUCCACGCUAACGUGGUUCACUUGUCCCCUGUUGAAAGGGUUUGGCUUCUUCCCAGAACUUCCAUUGCUAUUUCCAUUUUAUAAUUCAGGACAUUCAUUGGCAUAAUGUCCUAUCUUCGAACACUUAAAGCAAGUGACUUGGCUUAGGUCCUUCUUGGCUGGGGUUGAGGGGUUGGUGCGGUUCUGGCCGUUGCUUCCUCCAUUGCCAUUUCCAUUCUUGGUGCCAUUGUGAUUGUGCGUACUACCUCCUCCAUGGGUAUGCUGAAAAUGUCCUCCCUGUCUAGGGGUAAAACGUGGCUUCUGCUGAGCUCCUGAAUUGUACUUUCCUUGUCCAUACUUCCUCUUGCGGUUCUCAAUUUGCUGCUGCUUCCCUUCAAUCAUAAGAGCACGAUCUACCAACUCCUGGUAGUUGUUGAAGGUUGCUACCAUCAACUGCAUGCUCAACUCAUCAUUCAGUCCUUCCAGAAACUUCUCCUGCUUAGCUGCAUCCGUAGCGACAUCAUCUAGGGCAUAACGUGCUAACUUACUAAAUUCCUCCACAUACUGGCCAACUGUCCUUCCUCCUUGGCGCAAGUUGCGAAACUCACGCUUCUUCAUGGCCAUAGCUCCUGCUGAAACAUGUGUAGUAUGAAAAGCCUGCUGAAACUGGUCCCAUGUGACAGUGUCUACUGGGAAAGUGGCUGUGAAAUUCUCCCACCAUGAUGCUGCGGGUCCUUCUAACUGAUGUGCGGCAAACUUCACCUUCUCCGCAUCUGUGCAUCCUACUGUGGUCAACUCCCUAGCUGUCUUGCGGAGCCAAUCAUCUGCUACCAUCGGCUCGGUGCUACUGGAAAACACCGGCGGAUUUAGCCUAAGAAAACGGGCUAAGUGGUCAAUAGGUGGUGGUGGUGGUGGUGGGUUGUUGUUGUUGUUCCCCUGAUUCUGAUUCUGGACUAGCAAUUGCAUCAAUGUGUUCUGCUGCUGGAUCAACUGGGUGAGCUCCGGUGGGAAGGCAAAUCCAGGGUCACGUCUCAGAGGCAUCUGAGGGUUUAGAAAAGAUGAGAUAUAAGAAUAGAGGGGGUCUAAAGAGAAAACACUACCCAUAUGCACAUGAGGCAAAGCAAACAAUUCACUUCAAUCAAUCAAACAAGGGCAUACAAUCGAUCUAUCUAUCGCAAAAGUGCUCGGACUACUAUAUUUACAUGGUGGACUACUACUACUGAUGAGGUGAUCUACUAGAAAUAUUCUACGGUCGUUGACUCCAUGAUAUGUGCUCCAGCUUCAUCAACAUAGUCAUCAUCGCUACUAUCUGCUUCCGAGUCGGUGCCGUCGAUGAUGAUGUAGUCUUCUGGGCUAAUCUCCUUGGGUUCUUCACCUUUAUCUACUGGCGUAGGGUCUCCCAUAAAUAUUCCAAUCUUCUUGAUCAGGUCGUCAUUCUUCUCCACCAGUACUUCAAUUUCCUCUUCAUAAUCUUCAGGUGUAGCCUUGAGUUCUUCCUCCAGUUCCUUGAUUCUAGUCUUAGCCUUCUUCAGAUCUAUCAUGUCGGCGCACAUCUGGUUCUCCUGUCGUCGAAUGUGCUGGUUUAGCUCCUGGAUAAAAGCUGCAAUUGAUCUAUCCUUUCUGGUGCUGAUCAUCUCCCGGUGUUCAUCUCGACGCCCACAAAUCUGGUAGAUAGUAUCCUUGAGGUCCUUGCGGUAGACUUCUCCAAUGCGUCCCAUGGCGACGUGAGCUGCCAUGCUCUUUCCUAGACUCCAAGUUGGUGCAUCAAAAGAAAAUUCUAUGGGCUCAGUGACUGGCAUGAACAUCCUUCCUGGAACUUGAACUUGAAUCAUCCAGCACUCUUCUUCAGGUAAAGUGGCGUUGUAGGUUCCUGUGAAGCUUGGUACUCCUAUGUUCAGGUAUCUAGUGACUUCCUUCAAGUGACGUCCAAAGGGUGUAUCUUCAUCCGGUUGCGUGAACUUGUUCCUUGCAUUCGCCAUCCUAAAGAGUAGAAAGGAUGAGAGGUCAUAAGAGAAGAGAGUGAAAAGUGAUCUAGGUCUUUAGCUUAGUGGUCGUGUCCUACAGUCAGCGUGUGCUCUAAUACCAUCUCUGUAGCGACCAGACCUCAAACAGUCUGAUCUCUGUGCUCUAGUGUCAUCCCUGGAUCAGUAAUGCUGACACCACACAGUACUCGGAGGAUUUAUAGCAGAGUAGCAAUCACACACUUAUUACAUCGAGUGUCUCAAAAGAGAACUUAUUACAAUAAGUAUGGCUUAAGGCCAUCUAAUAACGAUAACAGCGGAAGGCUUGGAAGAUAACUGAGUCCAUCAACUCCAACGGCAUCACUGAGUAUAUGACCACGACCUAAAAACUCCUUAAUCAUCGUCUGAAAAGUCUGCAACACUAACGUUGCAGCCCGAAAACGGGUCAGCACAUGGAAUAUGCUGGCAAGGUAACACAAAGAGAGUAAUGGAAUGGAACAGCUAUACUAUAUGCAUAUUUGGCUGGUGGAAAGCUCUAUGGUUACAGUUUUACGUAAAGCCAAUUUUUCCCUACUUCAAAGGAAUAAAAUUUAAUUACUAUCAUGGUGGUUGUUAAACAUUGAGAAUGGUUGACAACAUUCUCAAUCCCAAUUAAGCAUCAUCAUUAACAAAACUCAACAAAAUUAAUUUAGAGUAACAUGUUGAGAUUCACAUGAAAAUCCAAGUACUAGAUACUCAAGAUGUCCAUAACCGGGGACACGGCUAACCAUGAUUAGUUUAUUACACUCUGCAGAGGUUUGCGCACUUUUCCCCACAAGACUCGAUCGCCUCCGUUUGUUUUCUCGCACUACAGGGUGUUUGAGAAGACGGAUGACCGAGACAUAGUCUUUCAGAAGCGCUAGCACCUUACGAUGGGUAGACCGUACCACCUACAUCCCCUACAUCUGCUAGUCUACCACUAUAAGAGUUCGCACAACUUAGUCAACUAUGCUAGAGCCCAUAAUAGCCUGUGGCUGCACAUGGAAGUUUCUAGUAUGAAUAGUCUCAUGAUCCCUUUGAGCCUGGGUGGCGGUCCAAAAGAAAACAGGCAAGUCCUGGAAUACCCAGGUGCCUCAAUCCGCCCAGAUGUGUGUUUAAUUUGCCACCUUAGAUAAACCAUUAACAAUGUCACAUCUGUCAUGGAUUUCACUCACCCAAUCCACGUCUACUAGCAUAGCAUGGCAUAAUAAGCAAACGUAGAAGUAACUCCCAAAGGUUUGAUAUAAACAGGUAAUAGGUACUACCUCAUCUACUUCCCAUCCCACAAUUUAAUUACAUCCUAAUCAUGCAAUGUGUGAGGAUUGAUCUAAUGCAAUAAAACUAGGUAGUAGGAAAGGUAUGAUCAAAUUGUUACUUGCCUUGCUGAUGAUCCGCGAAACCUAACGAUUCGAAGUAACAGGCGGCGCACUCCGGGUAUUCUAUCGCAGACAAACAAACAAGCAUACAAUAAGUACUCAUCUAAUGCACAGGUAAAACUCAAAUAAGAGAUCUAACGAGAAGGUUCAACUUAAGAACUCCGGUUGGCAAAAAGAAUCAAAUCGAACGAAGCAACGAAAAACAAACUGCGAAAGAAAACAACUUUGUUCUAGUAAUCUGGAUCUAGGGCAAAUUUUAUAGUAGCAAAAUCUUGUUUAAGUUGGUUAAAAGGAUAAAGUGUUUCGAGACGAAACUCUAGGCGCUUGAAUCGCCUGAUUCCGAUAAACGCGCGAAAAGUUAAACUAAAACGAAAAUCGGAUCAGGAAUCGCGAUCAGAAAAAUCGCGGAUGUAAUCCGAGAAAAAGAAAAACUAUGAACGCCGAAAAUUUUUUUCUCUCUUUUUUUUAAUUACUACGCUCGGAAGAAAAAUAAAAAUAAAUACUAAACGGACUCCAAAAAUUCCGAAAUAAACUUUCACGGGCUUCUAAAAUCAAGCUGCACAAGGUGGACAUUUAUUUGGGCCCUAAAUGCAAUUUUGAAAACCACACUUUUUUCCUAAAUUCAAAUAAAACACCGAAAAACUCCGAAAUAAAAUCUUAUUCGAUUUUAUUAUUAAAUCCUCAAUAUUUCUUUAUUUUGGGAAAGUCAUUUUAUUCCCUCUCUCAUAUUUUUUGUAAUAGAAAUAAUUGAUGAUAAAAUAAAUAAAAUCAAAUGAUCCUAUUCUCAAAAUUUGAGAGAACUCAAAUAUGAAAAUAACGAAAUCCCCAACUCUCUCCGUGGGUCAUUGAGUUGCGUAGAAUUUCUAGGAUCAACCUAAAUGCAAAAUAAAAAAAUAUGAUAUGCAUGAUGAUCUAGUGUAUAACAUUCCAAAUUGAAAAUUUGGGAUGUUACACGGGUCUUGCCAUAUUCAGAUCCCUAUGUAUUUCGCAAAACUUUAUAUCGUAGGUGCUGCUACCACGUUCCACUUGGAGCUAUUCCAAAUUAUUGCUCCAUUAUACGUAUCCAGUAUCUCUACUCAGAGCUAUCCGGAUAGGUGUUAAGCUUGCAUCGACGUAACUCUUUAUGUCGAACUCUUUAUCACCUCCAUAACCGAGAAACAUUUCCUUAAUCCUCUAAGGAUAAUUUUGACUGCUAUCUGGUGAUCCACUCCUAGAUCACCUUUGUACCCUCUUGCCACACAUGUGGCAAGGCACACAUCAGGGGCGGUACUUCAGCAUGGCAUACCAUAUAGAGCCUAUGACAAAAGCAUAGGGGACGACCUUCAUCCUUCCUCUUUCUUCUGUCGUGGUCAAUCUUCGAGUCUUACUCAACUUCACACCUUACAACCCAGGUAAGAACCCCUUCUUUGACUGAUCUAUUUUGAACUCUUUCAAAAACAUGUCAAGGUGUGUGUCCUUGAAAGUAUCAUCAGGCGUCUUGAUCUAUUUCUAUAGAUCCUGAUGCCCAAUAUGUAAGCAGCUUUGUCCAGGUCUUCCUUUGAAAAACACUCUUCAAACAACCGUUUAUGCUUUCCAGAAAUUCUACAUUAUUUCGGAUCUACAAUAUGUCAUCCACAUAUACUUAUUAGAAAUGUUGUAGUGCUCCCACUCACUUUCUUAUAAAUACAAGUUUCUAGCAAACAUUGUAUAAACCUAAAAACUUUGAUCACUCUAUCAAAGCAUGUAUUCUGACUCCGAGAUGCUUUCUCUAGUCCAUAGAAGGAUUGCUGGAGCCAGCAUACCUUUUAGCAUCCUUAGGAUCGACAAAACCUUUUAUUGUAUCACAUACAACUUUUCUUACGAAAACUGGUAAGAAAACUUGUUUUGGCAUCCAUCUGUAAGAUUGCAUAAUCGAAAAAUAUAGCUAAUGCUUACAUGAUUCCGACGGACUUAAGCAUCGCUACGGGUGAGAAAUUCUCAUCGUAGUCAACUCCUUGAACUUGUGAAAAGACUCUUUCCCACAAGUCGAGCUUCAUAGACGGUAACAAUACCGCCCACGUCCGUCUUCUUCUUAAAGAUCCAUUUAUCUCAAUGGCUUGCCGAUCAACGGGCAAGUCCACCAAAGUCCAUACUUUGUUCUGAUAUAUGGAUCCUAUCUCGGAUUUCAUGGCUUCUAACCAUUUGUCGGAAUAUGGGCCCACCAUCGCUUCUCCAUAGCUCGUAGGUUCAUUGUUGUCUAACAACAUGAUAUCUAAGACAGGAUUACCGUACCACUCAGGAGUAGUACAUAUCCUUGUCGACCUAUGAGGUUCGAUAGCAACUUGAUCCGAAGCUUCAUGAUCACUAUCAUUAACUUCCUCUUCAACAGAUGUAGGCUCCACAGAAAACAUCUUUCUGUGUUGCAUCACUCUCUGGUUGAAAUAAAGGUUCGACAACCUCAUCAAGUCCUAUCUUCCUCCCACUCAAUUCUUUCGAGAGAAACUCCUUCUCGAGAAAGGACCCGUUCUUAGCGACAAACAAUUUGCCCUCGGAUCUGAGAUAGAAGGUAUACCCAACUGUCACCUUUGGGUAUCCUAUGAAGAUGUGUUUGUCCGCUUUGGGUUCGAGCUUCUCCGGCUGAAGCCUUAAGCAUCGCAGCCCCAAACAUUAAGAAACGACAACUUUGGUUUCUUGCCAAACCAAUGUUCAUACGACGUCGUCUCAACGGACUUAUAUGGUGUCCUAUCUAAAGUGAAUGCAGUUGUCUCUAAUGCAUAACCUCAAAACAAUAGCGGUAGAUCGAUAAGAGACAUCAUAGAUCGCACCAUAUCUCAUAAGGUUCGAUUACGAUGUCCGAACACACCAUUACCCUGUGGUGUUCCAGGUGGCUUCAACUGUGAAACAAUUCCACAAUGUCUUAAGUGAUUGCCAAACUCAUAACUCAGAAAUUCUCAUUGAUCAGAUCAUAGGAAUUUGAUCUUCUUGUUAUGAUGAUUCUUAACUUCACUCUGAAAUUGCUUGAACUUUUCAAACGUAUCAAACUUGUGCUUCAUUGAGUAAAUAUACCUAUAUCUACUCAAAUCGUCAGUGAAGAUGAGAAAAUAGCGAUAUCCACCGCAUGCUUCAAUUCUCAUUGGAUCACACGCAUCAGCAUGUAUGAUUUCCAACAAGUCACUUGCCCGUUUCAUUGUACCUGAAAACGGGGUCUUAGUCAUCCUGCCCAUGAGGCAUGGCUCGCAUGUGUCAAGUGAUUCAAAAUCAAGUGACUCCAGACAUCCACCGACAUGGAGUUUCUUCAUGCAUCUUACGCCAAUAUGACCUAAGCGGCAGUGCCACGAGAAAGUGGUACUAUCAUUAUUAACUCUACAUCUUUUGGCGUGAACAUGUGUAUUACCACGACCGAGAUUCAAUGAACCAUUCACAUAGGGUGCAUGACCAUGAAAGGUAUCAUUCAUGUAAACAGAAUAACCAUUAUUCUCUAACUUAAAUGAAUGACCGUAUUGCAAUGAACAUGAUCUAAUCAUAUUCAUGCUCAACGUAGACACCUGAUAACAUUUAUCUAGGUUCAAUACUAAUCCCGAAGGCAGAUGGAGCGUGCAAUGGUGAUCUCAUCAACUUUGGAAACACUUCCAACACACAUCGUCACCUCGCCCUUAGCUAGUCUCCGUUUAGUCCGUAGCUUUUGUUUCAAGUCACCAAUAAUAGCAACUGAACCGGUAUCCAAUACCCAGGUGCUACCAGGAGUACUAUUGAGGUACACAUUAAUAACACGUAUAUACUUUGUUGAAGUUGCCAGCCUUCUUAUCUACCAUGCAUUUGGGGUAAUUCCGCUACCAGUGACCGUUCCCCUUACAAUAGAAGCACUCAGUCUCGGGUUUGGGUUCAACCUUGGGUUCCUUCACUGGAGCGGCAACUGGUUUGCCAUCCAUAUGAAGUUUCCCUUCUAGCCCUUGCCCUUCUUGAAACCAGUGGUCUUGUUAAACCAUCAACACUUGAUGCUCCUUCUUGAUUUCUACCUUUUUCGGUCUUAAGCACCGCGAACAGCUCCGGGAUCAACUCCAUCCCUUGCAUGUCAUAGUUCAUCACAAAGAUCUAGUAGCAUAGUGAUAGUGGCUAGAGAACUCUAUCAAUCACUAUCUUAUCUGGAAGUUUAACUUCCACUUGAUUUAAGUGAUUGUAGCACCUAGACAUUCUGAGCACAUGCUCACUAGCUGAGCUAUUCUCCUCCAUCUUGUUGGCAAAAGAACUUGUCAGAGGUCUCACACCUCUCAACACGGGCAUGAGCCUGAAAUCCCAAUUUCAGCUCUUGGAACAUCUCAUAUGUUCUAUGGCGUUCAAAACGUCAUUGGAAUCCCGAUUCUAAGCCGUAAAGUAUGGUGCACUAAAAUAUCAAGUAGUCACCAGGACGUGUCUGUCAGGUGUUCACAACAUCCACAGACGACGUUGUAGGGGUUUGCACAUCGAGCGAUGCAUCAAAGACAUAAGCCUUCUGUGUAGUAGUGAGGACACUCCUCGGACUACGGACCUAGUCCGCAUCAUUGCUUACAAUAUCUUUCAACUUAAUCUUUCUCUAGGAACGUAUUGAAACAGGGAGCUACAACGUGAGUUAUUUAUCUACAACAUAUUUGCAAAGACAAUUUAGACUAUGUUCAUGAUAAUUGAGUUCAUCUAAUCAAAUUAUUUAAUGAACUCCCACUCAGAUAGACAUCCCUCUAGUCAUCUAAGUGAAACAUGAUCCGAGUCAACUAGGCCGUGUCCGAUCAUCACGUGAGACGGACUAGUCAACAUCGGUGAACAUCUUCAUGUUGAUCGUAUCUUCUAUACUACUCAUGCUCGACCUUUCGGUCUUUCGUGUUCCGAGGCCAUGUCUGUACAUGCUAGGCUCGUCAAGUCAACCUAAGUGUAUUGCGUGUGUAAAUCUGGCUUACACCCGUUGUAUUCGAACGUUAGAAUCUAUCACACCCGAUCAUCACGUGGUGCUUCGAAACAACGAACCAUCGCAACGGUGCAUAGUUAGGGGGAACACUUUUCUUGAAAUUUUAGUGAGGGAUCAUCUUAUUUAAGCUACCGUUGUUCUAAGCAAAUAAGAUGUAAAACAUGAUAAACAUCACAUGCAAUCAAAUAGUGACAUGAUAUGGCCAAUAUCAUUUUGCUCCUUUUGAUCUCCAUCUUCGGGGCUCCAUGAUCAUCAUUGUCACCGGCAUGACACCAUGAUCUCCAUCAUCAUGUAUUCUUGAAGUUGUCUCGUCAUCUAUUACUUCUACUACUAUGGCUAACGCUAUAGCAAUAAAGUAAAGUAGUUAUAUGACGUUUAUAUUAACACGCAGGUCAUAAAUAAAUUAAGACAACUCCUAUGGCUCCUACAAGUUGUCAUACUCAUCGACAUGCAAGUCGUGAUUCCUAUUACAAGAACAUGAUCAAUCUCAUACAUCACAUAUAUCAUUCAUCACAUCCUUUUGGCCAUAUCACAUCACAAGGCAUAUGCUGCAAAAACAAGUUAGACGUCCUCUAAUUGUUGUUGCAAGUUUUUACGUGGCUGCUAUAGGUUUCUAGCAAGAACGUUUCUUACCUACGCGAAAACCACAACAUGAUAUGUCAAUUUCUAUUUACCCUUCAUAAGGACCCUUUUCAUCGAAUCCGAUCCGACUAAAGUGGGAGAGACAGACACCCGCUAGCCACCUUAUGCAACUAGUGCAUGUCAGUCGGUGGAACCAGUCUCACAUAAGAGUACGUGUAAGGUCGGUCCGGGCCGCUUCAUCCCACGAUGCCGCCGAAUCAAGAUAAGACUAGUAACGGCAAGUAAAUUGACAAAAUCGACGCCCACAACAACUUGUGUUCUACUCGUGCAUAGAAACUACGCAUAGACCUAGCUCAUGAUGCCACUGUUGGGGAUCGUAGCAGAAAUUCAAAAUUUUCUACGCAUCACCAAGAUCAAUCUAUGGAGUAAUCUAGCAAUGAGGGAAGGAGAGUGCAUCUACAUACCCUUGUAGAUCGCUAAGCGGAAGCGUUCAAGUGAACGGGGUUGAUGGAGUCGUACUCGUCGUGAUCCAAAUCACCGAUGAUCCUAGCGCCGAACGGACGGCACCUCCACGUUCAACACACGUACGGUUGGGAGACGUCUCCUUCUUCUUGAUCCAGCAAGGUGAGAGGAGAAGUUGAGGGAAAACUCCGACAGCACGACGGCGUGGUGGUGAUGGAGCUCGUGGUUCUCCGGCAGGGCUUCGCCAAGCACUACGGAGGAGGAUGAGGUGUUGGAGGAGGAAGAGGGCUGCGCCAGUGGAAGGGUGCAGCUGCCCUCUCUCUCCCUCACUAUAUAUAGGGGAAAGGGAGGAGGGGGCGCCCUAGGGUUCCCUAGGGGAGGGGCGGCGGCCACAGGGGAAACCCUAGAUGGGUUUGGGCGCCCCCACCCCCUAGGAAACUUGCCCCCCAAGCCGGGAGGGGCGGCUGCCCUAGGGGUGGCGCCCCCACCUCUCCUGGUUACGUGAGAUGGGGUGGGAGGGGCGCUCAUCCCCUUAGUGGGCUGAUGUGCCCUCUCCCCUUGGCCCAUAAGGCCCCCAACGCUUGCCGGGGCCUCCGAAACCCCUUUCGGACACGCUGGUCAUCACCUGGUGCCUCCGGAACAAUUCCGGACUCCAAUACCCUUCGUCCAAUAUACCGAUCUUCACCUCCGGACCAUUCCGGAGCUCCUCGUCAUGUCCGGGAUCUCAUCCGGGACUCCGAACAACCUUCGGUAACCACAUACUAUUUCCCAUAACAACUCUAGCGUCACCGAACCUUAAGUGUGUAGACCCUACGGGUUCGGGAACCAUGCAGACAUGACCGAGACAACUCUCCGGCCAAUAACCAAAAGCGGGAUCUGGAUAUCCAUGUUGGAUCCCACAUGUUCCACGAUGAUCUCAUCGGAUGAACCACGAUGUCGAGGAUUCAAUCAAUCCCAUAUACAAUUCCCUUUGUCCAGCGGUAUUGUACUUGCCCGACAUUCAAUCGUCGGUAUCCGAUACCUUGUUUAAUCUCGUUACCGGCAAGUCUCUUUACUUGUUCCGUAACACAUCAUACCAUGAUCAACUCCUUGUUCACAUUGUGCAUAUUAUGAUGAUGUCCUACCGAGUGGGCCCAGAGAUACCUCUCCAUUUACACGGAGUGACAAAUCCCAGUCUCGAUUCGUGCCAACCCAACAGACACUUUCGAAGAUACAUGUAGUGUACCUUUAUAGCCACCCAGUUACGUUGUGACGUUUGGCACACCCAAAGUACUCCUACGGUAUCCGGGAGUUGCACAAUCUCAUGGUCUAAGGAAAUGAUACUUGACAUUAGAAAAGCUUUAGCAAACGAACUACACGAUCUUGUGCUAGGCUUAGGAUUGGGUCUUGUCCAUCACAUCAUUCUCCUAAUGAUGUGAUCCCGUUAUCAAUGACAUCCAAUGUCCAUGGUUAGGAAACUGUAACCAUCUAUUGAUCAACAAGCUAGUCAACUAGAGGCUUACUAGGGACAUGGUGUUGUCUAUGUAUCCACACAUGUAUCUGAGUUUCCUAUCAAUACAAUUCUAGCAUGGAUAAUAAACGAUUAUCAUGAACAAGGAAAUAUAAUAAUAACCAAUUUAUUAUUGCCUCUAGGGCAUAUUUCCAACAGACACAAUCUCCGUCUAGCAUCACCAGAGCGUCCUACCUUGCUCGAAUAAGGGAGGAAGAUAUCUUGAAGGAUGAGGCGAUGGGCGCCAACGAGCGUGGCGAUGGCUACGACCAUGGAGUACACGGUCGCAUGUCUACUGAGGCCCUCAACAUUGUCUCCUCUGAGUUAACUACCCCAGUGAUGUGCAGUGCAGACUGCGGCGUCGAUGCCAACAGUUUUGCUGCACCGACGCCGAUCAUGGUGCUUGACACAAACCACAACAUCGACGUCAUCGACGGCAAGAACCCGGCUGCAUCAACGCCUACCACCCAUUUGACAGAUGGCUCGGGCCAAGUUGUCGGCAUGCCACUCUCAGCGUCCCCAACCACCACUACACCGAGGUCUUCGCUGCGUCCAGCAGCUGAACCGACGCUCAUUUGCAAUUCUGCGGCACCCACUACAACCCCGUUUGCAUCUGGGCUACAGAUGUCAACCACAGUGUCAGCCUCGACACCGCCAGCCAAUAUGUGACAAAGGCGCCCACCAUGGUCUCGCCAUUCCGGCUCCAGGCAGAGGCUUACGCACACCUAAGGUUCAGCUCCAUGCUUUCACUGCUGCUGUUCGGGGAUCACCAAGCCAGCGCCCCACCAAAACCACCAUGGUCGUCCCUUGUGCAAGAACAGAUCGGUGGGGAUGGAGAUGAGGUCACCACCUUCACCAAGGUCUUCCAAGUCAGGUGGUGCAAGCAUAGUUGGUGUGCAGUGUUACCGUGUUCAUUGUCAAUGAAGGUGGUCACAUCCCAACCAUGGUCGCCAUCUCCACGCGUGGAGCUCUAUGCCAGGGGAGUAGGCCAGCCGUCAUGGCUACCACCAGAAACAUACACUGUGUUGUUGCUGUCAAGGAAUGAUUCUAUUAUGCCAGUGAUUGAGCUGAAGCCAUGGCCGGAUCCGCGACAGAGUGAAGGUAGUGGAAGUGUGGUGAACAAACUGCAACAGUAUGGAUUUGGGAUGUCGAAUUGGGUCCAUGUGUUCGUUUGGAGGAAGGCUGGGGCAAGCAACCUUGGGAACAAUUACAUUAAGAAGCAAUUGAGGGUGGUUGUCCUGGACUUUCAAAGGGUAGCACUUGGGUGUUGCUCACAUGCCACAAGCUGGCAACUGGAGUUCCUGAAGCUCUAUGAAGUGACAAAGGUCAACGAGAACAGAACACCGAGACUAUGUGCAGAUAACAAGUUUCUCCGGGCAACAAAAUACAAAGGGUUUGAUUACUAGUGGAAAGUGAAAUGGCUCGCAUAUAAUUGGUGCGGCUCUAAGAGUUCAAGUGAUUACGUUGUAUGGCUGACCAUGGAGAGAUCCAGUUUCAUCUACCUGGUGUUAUUCUCACUAUCCUUCGUUGAGCUAAAACCUUGGGCACCACCUCAGUGCAACGGAAGUUUAGUUGGCUCAUUACUCCAAUUUUCUGCAGCUAUAUAGGGAUUCAUGCUCAAGGUACAAUGCUCUAUCUCCUCUGUAAAUAUCAUGGCGGAAUCAACACAUUGUUUUCCAGUCAAUGCUUCCGGAUAUUUCUCUAUCACCAUCUUAUGGUUACUGGAAGUAACAUUUUGGAAGAACAAGUUCGACAAGGAUGAUCUUGUUUGCUAUAAUCCUGAGCAUUUAUUGCUUAUAGACCCUGCAAGUGUUUGUGUGAGCAGGCUCAGUUUUUUGUGCACAAACUGUCAUUUCAGCAUUUGGUUGGACGAUAGUAGUAGAAGUGUUGGGCAGCUGAAUGUUAAUAGUAAUUUGAACAAGAUAGUGCAGUUGAACCGUGGUGUUCUUCAUACUCAUAUGCAGGGAGGCUACUUGAUACAUCAUGAUUGGGGACAAGGAUUGCAUAGUGGACAACAAGUCACCUAGGGAGGCAUCCGUACAUAUCAGCAUCCUUUUGUUGUUAUGACAUGGAGUUCUGCUAUAGCUAAGUGGAUCUUGCUGCAACUGUUUGAUGAGUUUUCAGAAACUUUUCCUUGUCACAAACUGUUCAACGGGCAGCUCAUUCUUCGUUCAGUGAAGGAAAUUUUGGCACAAGCUAUCAGUGCUAGGCGUGGGCAAAGGUUGUGGGAUCCUGGUGUUUCAGCAGUAAUAACUAACGACUGUCGGGUAGUAAAUCUCAAUCUUGCAAUAGGUGAAGCCAAUAGGAGUUUACGGAGCUCAACCACAAUAUAUUGCCUAUGCUCGACAUGUCAGAUGUCCAGUGGCUUUUAUGCUGACAACUUCUGGGAUCCGACUGACAUGUUCUUUAGGAAGCAAAUCAUGGUAUGCACCACGAGGAAUUCUUUUAUGUUGAACUCUUUGUCAACGGCACCACAAAAGGACCAUUGUCCAACAAUGCUUCUUAUUACCGGAAUACAACAUCGAUUGACCCCAGGUUAUGUGCGCUGGACAUGGGACCCUGGCGGCUUUUACCAUUGCCCGGCUUGGGGGCAAGCCGGAUUUCAAGAGGGCGAGAGUGUCAUGCCCGACCUAUGCGCUGGUAAGCACAGCUGGGUGGUGGGCCAUCUCUUGGAGGUUGGUCCCACAUGGAAGUCACAUGGAGGCAAGGCUACAUAUACAGCAGGGGGAGCACAGGAGGAGGCAGCGAAGGAAUGAAUAAAUGUUCUGAAUCUCAUCUCGUGUCCUUCUGGUCCUCAUCCCCUUCUGUGAUUCCUCACCCCCAAUUCUCCCAAAUUAUCCCAAAUCGAUCCAAAUACUGAGCUAAUUUGUGCAUCCUCGAUCCAUCCAAUGAUCGGGUCGUGACAGUGUGUGACGUACUGACGUGUGCUUUUGCUUGGAAGAUGAUAUUUGCUAGCGAACACAAAAAAGGCUACACGGUUUUUUAUGUGCUCGCUUGCUUGUUCCCUGUUUUGUUGCAAUGAAGUGCGGAUGUGGCUGAUUCUGCACAUGGCCAGUGCCAGCUGGCUUUGGGCUCUUUUUUUCCCCGGAUAGUAGGUUUCUGGGUGAAGGAGUAGGUUUUGCAAAAUUUGGACCAAACCAUCACAGGCUGAAUAAGUUUGUGUGCCCCUGAUGCAUUUAUCUCUAAGCUAAUCAUUGAAUGUUACUAAAGAAAGGUAAUCAUUGCAUGAUCGAUCAAUUAUAUUUAUGAUAACUUUUGAGUGCUUACACUUCAUGGAGAUUAAUAAAGCAAAGAAGAACAUGAGUUAUGCGUAGAAAAUUGAUAUGAUGAAAGCCUAUGACCGUUUGGAUUGCUAUCAUGGGGAAACCAAUGUUCUGCUUGGAUUUCAUUGCUGGUGUAUGUCUUUUGGGUCUAUAUAGGACAUAUUUAGAUGUGUCUUAGUUAUUGCACAUCUGAAUGACUCAAUGAAACAUAAAAAGGAAAAAAAAGGUGUGUCUAGAGCACAUCUAGAUGUGCUCUAGUUAUUGCACAUCUAAGUAAGUGAAUCAAGUAUAAAGAGAAAAGGAAAAAAAGAAAAAGAAAACAUCCACGCGAAUCUCAACGUAAUAUCAAUGUCAUAAGAUUUAGAUGUGUAAUACUUAUGAAACAUCUAGAUGUGCUUUAGCGAAACUGGGAAAAAAAAUACCGACAUGAAUCUUCCCCUAAAAUCAAUGGCAUAGAACUUAAUUCGCAAAAAAAUGACAUAGAACUUAGAUGUGCAAUACUUAUGGCACAUUUAGGUGUGUUUUAGUUAAAGGAUGUAUUUUCUACUCUCUCCGUCCCAAAAUAGGUGUCUCAACCGGUAUAAAGUUGAGACACUUAUUUUGAAACGGAAGGAGUAGUUUUGAGUGGUGAUCAACUUGAGAAUUUUAAACCGAAUAAAGAAAUCCGUCAGGAUCCAAUGUAUUUGUAUCAUUUGCUACUAAGAGACUAUCAUGUUUGUUGGAAGACUCUCUAAUUGUACAAACAAAAACACAAGCAUUCAAGACAUUGAGUUGAUAACUAAACCAUAACUGUACGUACGAGUAGCUGGUCAAUUAUUUAUUUAUCCAAGUACAAGCCUCACUUUAUUCUCGCUUGCAAGUUUGCAACAACACAUCAAAAUCAAAUCGACCUGCUUGUCUUGUGGAAGUAUAGCUCCGAUCAGGCGUAGUACUUGAUGUAGCUACUGUAAUCGCUCUGCUUGUCGAAGUAUCGGUCCCAAAGCAUGACCCCCGCCGUAGUUGUCCUUCUUCUCUGUUGAGUAUCGUGAUUAUUAGCAAAGCUAGGAUAGCGUAAGAUAUUAUUUUAUCUUGCCUUAUAUUUCAAGAUGAUCAUGUAUUCCUAUAUAUAUGCCCAUGAGGCUCAAGCAAUACAACGACAAUUCCACCAAAACCCUUUCUCCCUUCCAACUUGGUAUCUAUCGCAAGUCAAUCAUAAACCCUAGCCGCCGCCGCUUCCGCACCCGCGCGCCGCCCCCGGGGCGGUCGGCCUCCAUGACCGCCGCCGGGGGCCGCGCCGCCCGUACCUAGGGUUCGUCCGCCGGCCGUGUUGGCCGUCUGCCCUAGAGAGUCUUUUUCCCCGAUCCUUUGAUCCGGAUUUUCUCUCUCUCGUCGGUCACUUUGAUCGGCGUCUCUUUUUUGGUUUUCCGGUCUAUGUGAUCCGGUUUGCGUCGCUCAUCGCCGCCGUCGAUCCCGUGCGCCUCUACUCCAAUACCGACGCGAUCGGCCGGCUUCUUCACCGAUCCGACGGCCUCGCGCGUCGUCCGCGCGUCUGCCCGUCGGUCGCCCCGACCCGGCGGCCUUGCGCGGCGUCCUUGCGUCGGCCUGCCGGUUGCCCCGACCCGGCGGCCUCGCGUCAUGCGGCGGCUCUACACCGCCGCCCUUCGUGCGACGGCCCGCCCGUCGAUCUACGUCGGCCGUCACCGCCCUGCUCCGACCGGGACACCUGCAUCACCCCGACCCGGCGACCUCGCGCCAUGUGGCGGCCAAUCAUAGCCGCCCUGCCGCCCGCCGCCGCCGGCUUCAUCUUGGACUCCGUCGCCACCGCACCUCCACCGAGCGACGUCCCCGACCUCGCGCGCGAUCGGAUUGAUCACCCGCCCGCCGCCGCGAUCCGCAUCAUCUACGUCGUGCGACCGACCUGGCCCGUCGGUUGCGCGCGCCUCCGCAGGCCCCAUGAAGACCGUCCUGAGUUCAGCGCGCCCCUGUACCGAUCGAGCAAUGGGCUGCCGCUGCGUCGCCCCGUCGGGCCGCAACGCCGCUGCCCCGUGGUUCUUCUCCCAACUGCACCGACCCACAUCACCGCUGCGUCGCCCCUUCAAGCCGUAGUACCGCGGCCCGCGGUCCACCGCCGCCCAGAGGCCGUCCGCUCCAGGUCGUUCCCGUGGCGGCACCGACCCUCACGCCGCCACUGCGUCGCCCUGUCGGGCCGUAGCGAGCGUGGCACGCGGUCCAUGCCGCCGUCUAGAGGCCGUCCCCGCGGUUGCACCGACCCGCGCUCCUCCGCCGCGCCGCCCCUUCGGGCUGUCGCGUCGCGGCCCGCGGUCCCUGCCGCCGCCCCGAGGUCUUCCCGCCGUCACCCCGACCUGCCCGCCGCCGCUGCGUCGCCCCUUCGGGCCGUAGCGCAGCGGCCCACGGUUCACUUCGUCGUCCACGCGUGUUGACUUCCUGUGGUAUGCGUCGCGCCACCUCCCUUGGCGCGGGAACACCACCGUCCGCGGCGGUCUUCGUCAUGCUGUCGGGUUCUUCGCCUACUUCGAGCACCGCCGCCGCCGCCGCUCUUCUUUGGCCGCCGCCGCUACCCACGUAGCCGCCGCCGCCGCCCGUCCACCUCCUUCGUCUUCGUCCAACACCGGCCCGUCGCCAGCGUCGCCAUCAUCUACCCCGACCACUUCGUCUACUCCGACAACUGCAGGCGACGUCGGCUCUGCGCUGAUUGACACCGCAACCGUCGUCGAGUCCUUCUUUGAUGGCCUCUCCGACUCCUCCGACAUGGCGUACAACUUGUGCAGGUCCUCGUCUAUGCAUGCCCGGUGCUGGAAACACCGAUACAUGCCUUCGUCCACGAUGUUUCCCCGGGCCUGGCAAGCCUGGUGUGGCGCUUCGUCAACUUCGUCUUCGUCUGUCUACGCAUGCCCGAUGCUAGCAACACCGGUGCGUGCCUUCGUCUACGAUGUGUCCCCGGGCUUGGCAAACCCGCCGCGACGCGUCGUCAACAAUGUCUUCUUCCCGGCGCACCACUACUUCGACACCACUGCGACCAUGCUAACUCGGUGCGCUCUUGCGCCCGCGGCUCCAUGGCGACAUCCUCGACACCGGCUCCCCGACUCGACAUCGACCAUGACAUUCUACGCGCGGCUACCUCGACCACGGCUACACCACCCUCGGCUCUCGGCUACAUCGACAAACGACACAAAGGGCUACCGCCUGCUUACGCAACCUUGUUGGUUUCCACUCCAGCCACGACUCCGCGAUGCGUCGACCGUUACGACUGUGGGGGGGUGUCCAUCGGCUUGCCUUCGGAUUCUUCUCCAGUCUCACCGUCUGCGUCGCUACCGUUGUGACUGCGGGGGGAUGUUGAGUAUCAUGAUUAUUAGGAAAGCUAGGAUAGCGUAGGAUAUUAUUCUACCUUGCCUUGUACUCCAAGAUGAUCAUGUACUCCUAUAUAUAUGCCCAUGAGGCUCAAGCAAUACAACGACAAUUCCACCAAAACCCUUUCUCCCUUCCAACUUGGUAUCUAUCGCAAGUCGAUCCUAAACCCUAGCCGCCGCCGUUUCCGCACCCGCGCGCCGCCCCCGGGGCGGUCGGCCUCCAUUGGCGGUCGAGGUGGAGAGGUCGUGGCCGGAGAGGUCGAGGUGGAGAGGUCGUGGCCGGAGAGGUCGAGGUGGUACUCUCCGUUGGCGCCGAAGACUUUGAGGAAAGACAUGGUGACCAUGGUGUACAUGCCGGAGUCGCACGCCUCGCGCAGGGACCCCUCGGCCUUGUUCCAUCCCCAGAACACUGUCACCUGGCCGGUCUUCCCC
rnacentral:lncRNA from 1 species